GAUGAACGCUGGCGGCGUGCCUAAUACAUGCAAGUCGAGCGAACGGACGAGAAGCUUGCUUCUCUGAUGUUAGCGGCGGACGGGUGAGUAACACGUGGAUAACCUACCUAUAAGACUGGGAUAACUUCGGGAAACCGUAGCUAAUACCGGAUAAUAUUUUGAACCGCAUGGUUCAAAAGUGAAAGACGGUCUUGCUGUCACUUAUAGAUGGAUCCGCGCUGCAUUAGCUAGUUGGUAAGGUAACGGCUUACCAAGGCAACGUUGCAUAGCCGACCUGAGAGGGUGAUCGGCCACACUGGAACUGAGACACGGUCCAGACUCCUACGGGAGGCAGCAGUAGGGAAUCUUCCGCAAUGGGCGAAAGCCUGACGGAGCAACGCCGCGUGAGUGAUGAAGGUCUUCGGAUCGUAAAACUCUGUUAUUAGGGAAGAACAUAUGUGUAAGUAACUGUGCGCAUCUUGACGGUACCUAAUCAGAAAGCCACGGCUAACCACGUG
rnacentral:rRNA from 1 species